rnacentral:pre_miRNA from 1 species
ACAACAAUCGGACCGUGUCGGUCUACCGAGUAAAUAUCACCCGCUCGGUGGAAGAUCUUCCCUCAGUCGU